GUUCAGCAUUUUUUUCUUUUAAUUCAUACUGUACUUCCAUGGCUCUAGCUACUUUACAUUAAGAUUGAACCGGGAAGCCUUGAAUGUUUCUAGGUACUAGCAGUAAGUUUUCAGACCUUGCGCACAGCGCCAGGCGAAGUAAGUUACAGAUCCAAAUGCAGAUGGCCAGAGAAUUCAACUGCAUUCCUUCCCUAGUAUGGCCCAGUGCAGGUGUUGGGGGCUGCUCCCUCUGCCUCACCCCACUCCACCCCAGGUCAGGAUUAUCCAGGAGCCGCGGUGGCCUCUGACCCAUCCCUCCCCACCUUGGAGUCCAGGUUGAGUCAGGGGGAAAGCACCAUGGGUUUGGGAAGAUGAUAUCGUCCAUGCAGAGAGUGGUCUGGCCCUAGAGUGCAGGACAGAGAAACGUGGGAGCCACACACUGGUGCUGGCAACGAUGGCUGCUUUUAUUCAGCAAUCUCGGCGCGCGGCACCCAGGCCUACUCCCCAGAUGGAGUCAGCUGUUCCCGCCUGGAGCAGAGGCCCCUGUUUUGCUUCUGCAGCAUCUCCUCGUGUUGAGAGAAGUAGGCAGGGCCGAGGGGCAGAAGUGACAACGUCCUUUACGCCUUCACACGUCGGGUACAUCGUCCGGCAUCAAACUCCUAGCAGGCAAGGUGCUUCUCGCCAGCAGCCAAGGCUCCAAUCCGGGCUCCCAGGCCUGCUGAGGGCCUCGAGUUACAACAGACAACAAUGCCCAAGACCCCUGAGCUUCACACAGAACAUCGGAACCAGGAGCUGGCUGGGCCCGUCACAGCCAUGGCCGGAGCAGGAGUGAGGUAACGAGGUGGGCAGAGAGGUGCGGGGGGAGCUCUCUACACCAUGUGCAAGUUCCUGCUCCACAUCAGGAAAGCAGGGGGGUGAAAAGACGGCCUUCCAGAAAAAUGUUCCUCCCGGACCCAAAACCGAAUCUUCUGGAAGAAAACUAGAGGUGGAGGGGAGCGGGGCCAGCCCUGCUGGAAGUUGGGGGAUGAGGGCAGAGGAUGCAAGUGGUGGAUGCGGUGAUUGUCCCAUUGCCUAGAGACGAAGGUUGGAGGAGGAGAGGGUCAGGAAGAGAGGUUCUCAAGCUUCCUAGUGGAGUGGGCAGGUGCAGUCAGGGGAUGCCCUGCCACCUGGGGGAAGAGAGGAGAGUGCUUUUCUCCUGGGGCCCCUGGGAAGAUGGGCUGGCCUUGGCUGCUCUGCAGAGCUAAAGAUGAAGCAUAGAGGGCACAGGAAAGAUCCUGCUGAGACCACACAGUCCAGAAAGAUCCUUCCCUUAAUCCCGCCUCUAAGAUUUCACCCUAGAGAUGCUGCCUGCAAACUUAUAGACACGGUCAAGCUUGUGUCAUGGACACGGCAAUGAAGAGAAUCCACUUCUCUCAAAGCAUUCCUCUAGGUUUCUUGGUCCUCCGCCUUCCUGGUAAUCCCAGGUUCUUAGUGUCAGUGUUCUAAGGCAACCCAAGGAUUUUAGCCAAAGCUCCAUACUUAAUCCAAACCCCAAUGAGGUUAGAGACAAAAGAGAGGUGGUCAAAUCAGGAAUGACUUCUCCCCACCUUUUGCUCUAGCAAAGAGAAAGAAGGAUGGACAGAUGAAAGGCUUCACGGCCCAGGGAUGGAAGACAAGGUUAGUCCAAGAUGAUGUCCUUCUUCCCACCCUCCUCCUCUUCCCAGCUUAUAAAAGUCACAAGGAAGGAACCCUCGGAAACUAAGACUAGGCCGACAGAGGAAGAAACACCCUCCCAGGUUAACACUGAACAACACAGCAGGCUUGAUCUCUCUUUCUCAUCUCCCUCUCCCACCCAUUCAGUGGACCUCCCUAGUCCUCUUAGCCCUUAGAAUAAAGUUUUACUACCCUGGAUUUCCCGGGAACCCUGACACUACCCUACAACUCAUCUAAACACCAGAGAAGCUCUUGUCCAGAAGGCCUGUCCUCUCUUGGCAGGGCGCCUUCCAAGUUAGAGAAAGCCCAGCCUGGCCAGGCUCUGACCCAGCCUCCAAGACCAUGUGAAAGCUAGAGCUGACCUUAGGAUAGUCUAGGUCAGGCCCUGAAGCUUAGAGGGAGCGUGUGUAUGUGUGUGUGACUUGUCCAAAGGUGGGGCCAGGACUCAGGCCCAGGUCUCCUGACCCUCUCAGACCAGUGCCGUUACCGAGAGCUCCCAACUGCUGAUCCUACUGUGCUGCAAAGCUACCCCUUUGUCCCAGGAUGGGGACGGGGCAGCAGAGAGUCACAGACAUGGCUGGCCUUGCCAACACCAGCCUCGUCAAUUCCCGCCCCCCAGUCAGUGGGAGUGGACUGCAAACCUUACUAUUGUUCUCACCUGUCUAGAAACUGCAAAACCUUUUGCAGAAAGUGCAAACACUCACAUGUCUCACUACAUGAUGCAGAAAGACUCCUGUAUAACUGAGUUCUUAUGUAGGAAAGGGAAAAAAAAGCCCUGGCAAGGAGAAAUAACCUCAGAAACGGCAGUUUUAACACUCCCUUACAAGCCAGGCUGCCAGCCACAAGUUACCAUGUCAUUUACAUGUUUCACUCCCAGACUGAUCUGCAAGAGUGAGGUCCCUUCUCUUUGACAGGUUAUCGAGUAAAAGGGAACAGCUUUUGUCUGGGAGUGAACAGAGGUGUUGGUUUUCUCCUGGUUUGAGAAAAUGCCUAUAAAUGAUCCAAGAUUCUUAGAAAUGAGGCAAGCCAAGAGACGCUUCCCAUGUGUACACACUCUCUCCUGCCCAAACCCCCAGAAAUCCAGAGGGUUCCUCGCAGAGUUCCCUGUCACUGCUUCUGCCUGAGAGGGGCCUGUGAGCUGAAGCCAAAGUAAAACAAUCCCACAGAGUCAGGCCUACCUCCACCACUUUAUUGCCAGCAAAUAGCCCUUUUCAAGUCACCCUGAAGGUCCCAAUACACUAUUUUUAAUAACUGAAUAAUUUAAAUAAAUAAAUAUGCAUGGAAUAAAUUAGAGAAUUUACCAUUUGUCCUUUCAAAAGUUUCUGAGAAUACUUUUGACUUCUAGCUACUCCAACAAGAAAGUUCUUAGCAGCCUGCACUCUGCAGCUUGGGUCCUGUAAGCUUUGAUGCUCAUCAGGGUCUCCCAUUCAAAGUCCUGGUCAGGGCUGAUCUUGACGGGCUGGCCUGUGGGCACAUGCACCCUUCACAAGGAUUCCAUGCAACUCUAUUUCCUUGUAUCUCCUUUUCUAAACGAGGGCUAUCAGUUCCAGAUGACCCUCAUGGAACCUUCUCAUCCUACCUGGUUGCAGCAUCUUUCUGUCUUCUCUUCCUACCCUUAGGGCAAUAACAAGAACCUCUUUUUCAGACAGAAUGAAAAGUUAAAAACCUUUUUUUAAUUGCCAAAGUGGGAUGCUCAGGCCAGUCCAAGAGAAUAUAAUAUAGCUCUUCUUUUUGGCUAGGUGAGUGAUCAACUCUCCCUUCCCUCUGCCUGUUCCAUUAAGAGGUCUGCUAGAACAAGAAAUCUGGAAGAGCUCUCCUUGCCAAAUUGGUAUAAUCCCUUCCUGAUAAGAAUCUCUACAAGCCCUGUCCGGAGCUGGCAGGAUUCCUUGGGUCAUCACAGGAAGAAACAGCAGUUAGUGUGAAGGAUGCUAAGCACGUGCAACAGGGCCCCAUGAGGUCAGAAGAAUCACGGGUUCUGUAAGCCAGCCCCCAAAGGCCCUCAACAACUCACUUUCCUAACCCAUGGCCUUCUUCCUAUUCCUUAAUGAUCUCAUACCUCUCUUGGGCCAGAGGCCAGGGAAGGCUUUGCUCCUCCUGCUAGAACUUCCAUUCCUAACUCAGAUAAACAGGGUCUGGAACAGCCCCGAGUGGGGCAGACUUGAUUGGCUUUUUCCUGCCCAAACCCAUACACUGGGGCCAAAUUCAUUCCUUCCAAGGCUUGGGUCUUCUUUCAUGGGCAAAGUAUCUCAGAUAGUCAUCUCCCUUGACUAAGUAGGUUCCUCAACGAGAGGAAAUGAUGCUGGCAGCCAGAAAGUGCAUGGAUGUUGGUGCUCACUACUUAAACAGGAGCUCUGUGGUGAGACCCUCCAUUCCGUCCAUGGCUAAUACAUUCACCUUCUCAAACCCUGGAGGUCCUAGAACACCCUGAUUCACCCUAGAAAUCAAAAGACAGCUCAAAGGGAAGGGGUUAGAGCCACAGACCUGACUUACUUACAAUCACUGAAAGAGAAGUUUACAAGAUCAAAAACGC
ensembl:lncRNA